ACGAACGCUGGCGGCGUGCUUAACACCUGCCAGUCGAACGGUGAAGCGCCUUCCUUUUUGGUGGGUGUGGAUGAGUGGCGAACGGGUGAGUAACACGUGAGUAACCUGCCCCCUUCUUCUGGAUAACCGCAUGAAAGUGUGGCUAAUACGGGAUAUUCUGGGUCUGUCGCAUGAUGGGUCUGGGAAAGAUAUUGUUUCGGUGGGGGAUGGGCUCGCGGCCUAUCAGCUUGUUGGUGGGGUGAUGGCCUACCAAGGCGGUGACGGGUAGCCGGCCUGAGAGGGUGGACGGUCACACUGGGACUGAGACACGACCCAGACUCCUACGGGAGGCAGCAGUGGGGAAUAUUGCACAAUGGGCGCAAGCCUGAUGCAGCGACGCCGCGUGAGGGAUGGAGGCCUUCGGGUUGUGAACCUCUUUCGCCAGUGAAGCAGGCCUGCCUCGUUUGUGGGUGGGUUGACGGUAGCUGGAUAAGAAGCGCCGGCUAACUACGUG
rnacentral:rRNA from 1 species